rnacentral:rRNA from 1 species
GAUCUCGAAAACCUGUCCCAGUUCGGACUGGAGUCUGCAACCCGACUCCACGAAGUUGGAUUCGCUAGUAAUCGCGCAUCAGCCAUGGCGCGGUGAAUACGUUCCCGGGCCUUGUACACACCGCCCGUCAAGCCAUGGGGGCCGGGGGCGCCUGAAGUCCGGGACCGCGAGGACCGGCCUAGGGCGAAACUGGUGACUGGGGCUAAGUCGUAACAAGGUAGC